rnacentral:rRNA from 1 species
AUUGAACGCUGGCGGCAGGCUUAACACAUGCAAGUCGAGCGAGCGGCGGACGGGUGAGUAAUGUCUGGGAAACUGCCUGAUGGAGGGGGAUAACUACUGGAAACGGUAGCUAAUACCGCAUACCAUCAGAUGUGCCAAGAUGGGAUUAGCUCGUAGGUGGGGUAAUGGCUCACCUAGGCGACGAUCCCUAGCUGGUCUGAGAGGAUGACCAGCCAUACUUGAACUGGGACACGGGCCAGACUCCUACGGGAUGCAGCAGUGGGGAUGAUUGCACAAGGGGCGAAAGCCUGAUGCACCCAUGCCGGUGGUGUGAAGAAGGCCUUCGGGUUGUAAAGCACUUUCAGCGAGGAGGCGUUACUCGCAGAAGAAGCACCGGCUAACUCCGUGCCAGCAGCCGCGGUAUAC